ACACACACACACACACACACACACACAAAGGCUGCUUUCGAAAGUUCAACUUCCACUUUUUGUUUUACUGGUUUCCGUUGCUAUUUUCUGGCACAAGAAUUAACAUAGAAAGACAGAAAAAACAUUUUAUUGGUAAUCCCAUGUGUUUAUGAGUGGUUGUCUCAAUCAAAUCAUUGAAACAAUAGAUCAAAAUGUUCAGCAUGAUGAGUUGAUUGCUCACAUGAAAUAUCUAAGCAAUAAUUGUAAUACUUUUCUAGCUAACAAACUUUUGGAUUUGACAAUAUAUAUACAUUGCACUCAACCUUCGAAGGGAGACCUGUAAACAACAGACCGUCGAUGUGAUUGAGUUUGGUGCUUUUCUGGCGCCAAAGUGUAAUUUGCAUUACGAGCAGAGGGUGACAGUAGUGCGCCCAUAGGCUGGAUUCAAAUUGCACUGAAGAAAAAAAAGAGACAAAGUAGUGCAUUUGACCCCGAAAAUUCUGGAAGCACUCACAUUUCCCCCUUCAGCCACAACGGAGACCAGCCCAUUUACUGAUAAAAGUUUGGUGGCGGCAGGGCCGACGGACUGCGGGGGAAAGUGAGGCAUUGCCCAUGGCAAUUAAAAAAAAUAAAUAAAUAAAAAUCGGUUGAAUUAUCCACCAGCCCAUAUUGUUAGGAGUCGCACACGGCCACGUCUCCCCCCCGUCAGCAAUUCAGCGCAGGGGGCUGGUAGGGGGAAUUCGGAGGGGGGGGGGGGGGCCCAUCAGUACCUCUUGUAUACAGGGCCCAGGAUUUGGUGCAACGGCCCUGGGUGGCGGUAAUGUGGAGUUGUAAAAGCGGCAAAGAAACUGUAUCAAAUCAACGCUGAGUUUAAGAGAAUCACCACCGUUCCACUUCAAUCCAGGUUCCUGUCUCAGCUGGACGUUCACUCUGACAAACUGACGAGGCUGUUCCAAAGGAGAGGAGGACAUCUAGGGCAAAAGCUAAAAAAACCGCAAAAAUGGCAGAUUGUGAUGAUGUCGAUGUUGGACGGGAGUGUAUUAUCAAGGGAGUCUGCAUCUACAUGGGUGAAAAUCCAGAAAACCUUGUGCACGAAUACGCGGGCAUGGAUGGAGACGCCUUCAAUGCUGCUAUUUAAAAAACCUAGGUCGGGAUUUAUAAAAGAGAAUGAGGCAAGUGAAGAAUCUGAGGACAUUGGAGUUGUCCUCGAAGGCAUCAGGUUGUUAAGAGAUUUAGACAAUAUAGCAUUAGCGGUUGCUAUGCUUUUUGGACUGAUGUACGCACUGAACAUCAGCUACCCCGCCGACCUCCAGUACACCUUUGAGGUAGUACAGAAGAUACUAAUGGACAUGGAUGUGGGUAAACUUUCAAACAAAGUACUCGCACUGAAAAACCGUCUCUUCCAAUGAACGGGUCAAACACAGCGCUGCCUCUCGGUAAACCUCAGAUGAUCACUGGCCUUAAUUUGUGUUAUUAAUUUCUGUUCCUUAUUUGGUGUAUAAACAUGUGUUGCUCUAGGUAUUCUAGGUUUAUAUUGAUAGUGAUAAGUUUAUUUUUUGUGUGUUGAGCCACUGCUGUGAUAGUAUCCAGUUUGUGUUCAGCCACUGCUGUUGAUGGUAUCCAGUUUGUGUGUUCAGCCAGCGCUGUUGAUGGUUAUCCUGUUUAGUGGAAGAGGCAAUGUGCUUGUUACUAUGUGAAUGGAUCUGCACUCUCCAUAUUUUGUACGGAAGCAAGUGUAUGUUUGUGAAUUACCAUAAUGUAUAGCUGUUGGCUAGUGACAUGUUGCAACACAAAGGGAGAGCGGUAAAAAAAUGGGCCAGAAAUUCCCAGUAUAUUGCCUUAUGUUCAGUCAGGGCCACUUCUGAUAACUUUGACUGUUCUAGGCAAAUACAUUUUUAUAUUGAGACAGCGAAAACAGUAAAUGUGGUAUUUGACAGUGAAUCCGCUGCUGUUGAUGCAGGGUAUCGAGUUUGAGUUUUGAUUCAUCUUGCAUCUGUUUACGGCAACUGCACAGAUUUGUCUGUUUUCCUGAAUGUUUUAAAGCUCAAUACAGAAAAUUUGAGUACAAAUGACUGACUCGACCGAUGUCCACAUUAAAAUCGAGUAAAUUCAAUGAAUUAUUUUUUUCAGUGUACAUACAUAUAGAUUCAUAUAAGUACAAAUACAUACCAAUCAUACCCCUACAUACGUCUACAAACAUUCACAUAGCUAUAUGUAUACAUACACACAUAUAUACUCAUACAUACACAUGCAAACGCAUACGUACACAAACGUACAUAUGUGUAUGUAUACAUACGUACACAUACAUAAACAAGCAUAGGAAUAUAAGCAAACAUAAGCAUGGUAUGGCAGUGCAAAUUCCCUCAGGAAUUGUAUGAUUUCUAGUUUAUAAUGAUGUGGUUAUUUGGUUGUCCAGAUACAUUAAAA
ensembl:lncRNA